GACGUAGGGCGCGAGCAUUGUCCGGAUUUAUUGGGCGUAAAGAGCUCGUAGGCGGCUUGUCGCGUCGACUGUGAAAUCCCGCGGCUCAACCGCGGGUCUGCAGUCGAUACGGGCAGGCUAGAGUUCGGUAGGGGAGACUGGAAUUCCUGGUGUAGCGGUGAAAUGCGCAGAUAUCAGGAGGAACACCGAUGGCGAAGGCAGGUCUCUGGGCCGAUACUGACGCUGAGGAGCGAAAGCGUGGGGAGCGAACAGG
rnacentral:rRNA from 1 species